GCAUUUAGAAUACCUUCAAACAUGCUCCCCAACCCUACUCCAGGUGUACGUCUCAACCAUGAACCCAGCUCAGAAUGGCCUCCCUACCAUCUCUCUACAGCUACCUUUCGAGAUGGAUGUUCUACCUCUAAGAUUAAAAGCAUGACAGAAGUUUUAUCUAAGCAGAGAUCAUCUACUGAAGUCAUCUAAGCAAUUGUGCAUAAGCUUUUUGGGGACGUUUUGGCUGAAGUGCAAAAUAAAAAUGCAUUAAAUAGGUAAAAGUUAUUUCUCAAAAUAAGUGUACCUAACCUUCGGUAUAUACAGUUGGAGUAAUAAAACCUACUCCAUGGAGGCUUAUGUACAGAUUAAAUAAUCUUUAUAUUAUUGAUUUGAAGGUGGGUAGCUUUUGUGGAUCAGUAUAUAUGGAAUUGUAAGUGUUGAAUUCAGAACAAAUGGUAAACAAGUCGUGUAAUUAUCAGUGUUUUGUUCAGUAGUUUUGAAAGAAUGCAACCAAGUCUGGCUCUAAGCCAGUGCCAAUUAUUUGUAAUUAUUUGUAAGACAGAGACAUCUGCCCCGAUUCCUAUAUGUACUGGAUUCUCUUCCAUAACUCAGUUUCCAUAUUCACUUAAACGAGUGCAUGCAUUAGAAGCAUCUAAUGCUUCUUUAACUCAUAUGUUUUGGCAAUGCCCAGUAGUUGCCCCCUUUUGGGAAGAGGUUAUAAUAAGGAUGAACUUUGUACUGAAACAAUCUAUAAUAUGGAAUAAUGUCAAUCUCCUCCUAAAUUACCUACUGGCUUCUUGGAAGUUAACACAUGGUCAGUGCAGAUGGAUCUUCAGAGCCCUUAUGAGAGCCAAAAGACUUAUAUUAUCACAUUGGAAAGACAAAUUCACACCUCCCAUAAAUGCAAUGGAUUGAGGACAUAAUAACAUUAUCAACUUUUGAAUGAGUGUUAUAUAGACACAACUUACAAGAGGAUAAAUAUAUGGAUAUCUGGUCUGCUUUUCUUGUAACCUUUGUAUAAUUCUCCCUUUUGGAGGGGAACGGUACAUACGAUGGAAAUUAUGACAAUUCUAUAUA